AGUCGAGCGGUAGCACAGAGAGCUUGCUCUCGGGUGACGAGCGGCGGACGGGUGAGUAAUGACUGGGAAACUGCCUGAUGGAGGGGGAUAACUACUGGAAACGGUAGCUAAUACCGCAUAACGUCGCAAGACCAAAGUGGGGGACCUUCGGGCCUCAUGCCAUCAGAUGUGCCCAGAUGGGAUUAGCUAGUAGGUGGGGUAAUGGCUCACCUAGGCGACGAUCCCUAGCUGGUCUGAGAGGAUGACCAGCCACACUGGAACUGAGCACGGUCCAGACUCCUACGGGAGGCAGCAGUGGGGAAAUUGCACAUG
rnacentral:rRNA from 1 species